rnacentral:rRNA from 1 species
CAGGCUUAACACAUGCAAGUCGAGGGGCAGCAUGGUCUUAGCUUGCUAAGGCCGAUGGCGACCGGCGCACGGGUGAGUAACACGUAUCCAACCUGCCGUCUACUCUUGGACAGCCUUCUGAAAGGAAGAUUAAUACAAGAUGGCAUCAUGAGUCCGCAUGUUCACAUGAUUAAAGGUAUUCCGGUAGACGAUGGGGAUGCGUUCCAUUAGAUAGUAGGCGGGGUAACGGCCCACCUAGUCUUCGAUGGAUAGGGGUUCUGAGAGGAAGGUCCCCCACAUUGGAACUGAGACACGGUCCAAACUCCUACGGGAGGCAGCAGUGAGGAAUAUUGGUCAAUGGGCGAGAGCCUGAACCAGCCAAGUAGCGUGAAGGAUGACUGCCCUAUGGGUUGUAAACUUCUUUUAUAAAGGAAUAAAGUCGGGUAUGGAUACCCGUUUGCAUGUACUUUAUGAAUAAGGAUCGGCUAACUCCGUGCCAGCAGCCGCGGUAAUACGGAGGAUCCGAGCGUUAUCCGGAUUUAUUGGGUUUAAAGGGAGCGUAGAUGGAUGUUUAAGUCAGUUGUGAAAGUUUGCGGCUCAACCGUAAAAUUGCAGUUGAUACUGGAUAUCUUGAGUGCAGUUGAGGCAGGCGGAAUUCGUGGUGUAGCGGUGAAAUGCUUAGAUAUCACGAAGAACUCCGAUUGCGAAGGCAGCCUGCUAAGCUGCAACUGACAUUGAGGCUCGAAAGUGUGGGUAUCAAACAGGAUUAGAUACCCUGGUAGUCCACACGGUAAACGAUGAAUACUCGCUGUUUGCGAUAUACUGCAAGCGGCCAAGCGAAAGCGUUAAGUAUUCCACCUGGGGAGUACGCCGGCAACGGUGAAACUCAAAGGAAUUGACGGGGGCCCGCACAAGCGGAGGAACAUGUGGUUUAAUUCGAUGAUACGCGAGGAACCUUACCCGGGCUUAAAUUGCAGAUGAAUUACGGUGAAAGCCGUAAGCCGCAAGGCAUCUGUGAAGGUGCUGCAUGGUUGUCGUCAGCUCGUGCCGUGAGGUGUCGGCUUAAGUGCCAUAACGAGCGCAACCCUUGUUGUCAGUUACUAACAGGUUCCGCUGAGGACUCUGACAAGACUGCCAUCGUAAGAUGUGAGGAAGGUGGGGAUGACGUCAAAUCAGCACGGCCCUUACGUCCGGGGCUACACACGUGUUACAAUGGGGGGUACAGAGGGCCGCUACCACGCGAGUGGAUGCCAAUCCCCAAAACCUCUCUCAGUUCGGACUGGAGUCUGCAACCCGACUCCACGAAGCUGGAUUCGCUAGUAAUCGCGCAUCAGCCACGGCGCGGUGAAUACGUUCCCGGGCCUUGCACACACCGCCCGUCAAGCCAUGGGAGCCGGGGGUACCUGAAGUGCGUAACCGCGAGGAGCGCCCUAGGGUAAAACUGGUGACUGGGG